rnacentral:tRNA from 1 species
AGAAUACUAGUUAAAUAAUAACACUAAUUUGUCAAGUUAGAAUUAUCCCUCGUCGAUGUAAUCUU